rnacentral:rRNA from 1 species
CGGGAAUUUUGGGCAAUGGGCGAAAGCCUGACCCAGCAACGCCGCGUGAGGGAUGAAGUAUUUCGGUAUGUAAACCUCGAAAGAAUGGGAAGAAUAAAUGACGGUACCAUUUAUAAGCUCCGGCUAACUACGUGCCAGCAGCCGCGGUAAUACGUAGGGAGCAAGCGUUGUUCGGAGUUACUGGGCGUAAAGGGCGCGUAGGCGGCGCGGUAAGUCACUUGUGAAAUCUCUGAGCUUAACUCAGAACGGCCAAGUGAUACUGCUGUGCUAGAGUGCGGAAGAGGCAACCGGAAUUCUUGGUGUAGCGGUGAAAUGCGUAGAUAUCAAGAGGAACACCUGAGGCGAAGGCGGGUUGCUGGGCUGACACGGACGCUGAUGCGCGAAAGCCAGGGGAGCAAACG